rnacentral:rRNA from 1 species
UACGUAGGGCGCAAGCGUUGUCCGGAAUUAUUGGGCGUAAAGAGCUCGUAGGCGGUUUGUCGCGUCGGAUGUGAAAGCCCGGGGCUUAACUCCGGGUCUGCAUUCGAUACGGGCAGACUAGAGUGUGGUAGGGGAGAUCGGAAUUCCUGGUGUAGCGGUGGAAUGCGCAGAUAUCAGGAGGAACACCGAUGGCGAAGGCAGAUCUCUGGGCCGUAACUGACGCUGAGGAGCGAAAGCAUGGGGAGCGAACAGG